rnacentral:tRNA from 1 species
AUAGAUUUAUGUUAUAAACAUGAAUUUUUUUUAAGGGAUAUUUGCCUAUUUUAUU